rnacentral:rRNA from 1 species
CCUACGGGAGGCAGCAGUGAGGAAUAUUGGUCAAUGGACGAGAGUCUGAACCAGCCAAGUAGCGUGAAGGAUGACUGCCCUAUGGGUUGUAAACUUCUUUUAUAUGGGAAUAAAGUGUUCCACGUGUGGCUUUUUGUAUGUACCAUAUGAAUAAGGAUCGGCUAACUCCGUGCCAGCAGCCGCGGUAAUACGGAGGAUCCGAGCGUUAUCCGGAUUUAUUGGGUUUAAAGGGAGCGUAGAUGGAUUGUUAAGUCAGUUGUGAAAGUUUGCGGCUCAACCGUAAAAUUGCAGUUGAAACUGGCAGUCUUGAGUACAGUAGAGGUAGGCGAAAUUCGUGGUGUAGCGGUGAAAUGCUUAGAUAUCACGAAGAACUCCGAUUGCGAAGGCAGCUCACUAAACUGCAACUGACACUGAGGCUCGAAAGUGUGGGUAUCAAACAGGAUUAGAUACCCUAGUAGUC